AGAAUCUAAGUACUAAAGAACCAAGGACUAAACUUCAGUUGGGUCAUCCAUGUAUAAAUGAUAUGAUGCAGGAGAUGGUGAUUAAGUUGGGGGAAAGAGGGUGAAGCGGCCCUUGGAGACAACUAACACAGCCUGCCUGCCCCGACCAGGCACAGCUACAGCCAAGUCAGAGGCCCUGGGGCUGACUGGGACCCAGAAGAGAAAUGAGAGCUGGAGAAGAGGAACAGACAAGCCUCUCCAACACAGCACGGACUCUAGCUAGGCUGGCUCUGAGACUUCUAGUGACCUUGAGACCUCAUAACUUCAGAAAUCCUUUAUCCUCCAGCCUAUCAACAAUCAAGAGUCAGACAACAGUGUAUCAUGGAAUGGACAGUGGUUUGGGGCAAUCACCUAUCACCGAACCUGAGGCAAUGUUCCCUGUAAAAGACAAAAGACACAUCUACCUGCCUUCAGCCUCCAUCAGCAUUUUCCAGUUUUUGAUCAGGAGUCAGUC